GGAAAAUUUUAACAAUAAAAUACUUAUAUCAGUCACUCUGUUAAGACUUCACAGUAAAAAUGCGGGGGAGAAGCAAAUCAAACGCACAAAGGGAGCGCCGGAGAUCGGGAGAGAAUGGAGAGAGAGAGCCGGAGGUGGACCGAAACAGUUAGCCGCUAAUUGCAAGCAUGCGUCGCCACAGCUUUUGUCACCCGCAGAUUUGCUGCGGUGGACAUUUGCUGAAUCAUUUGUUUAUGGCCGAAUCAAGAGUGUGUUUAUAUUAAUUACCGUUUUAAGCUGCCUCACUGUUCUGUUUUCCUCUGCUGCUGCUGCUUCUUCCACGCUGGAAUUUGAAAUUCUUUGCUGUCAAACACUUCAAUGAAAACUUUUAUGUGGAGCAAUUGAUAAAGCCGCUCACGCACACACUGACACUGGGCUGCCGGACUCUACGCACACACGCACGCGCUUUGGCAUUUUCGCAAUAGCAAUAUCCAUCGAUCGCCGCGUUUUGAUUAAUUGUUUAAAUUACGUUUGUUAUUAUUGUUCGGCUGGGCCUCGAAAAGCUUCCGCAUCGAACCGCACUCGAGAGCUUUAAAAAAAUAACUGUGCAGCAGCAACUGAUCAAUCGACUUUUGGGGCCUCGCUGUUCUCUUUCUUUGCCACUCUCUACCACUCUCCCGAUCUCUCUCUCGCGCUGGGAGCGACAAGUGGGGAUUACAACAACAACUCUGGUUGUAUGAAUGAAUUUCAUUUGGCACGCUCUGCUUUAAGAGAGCUAGAGAGGGGAGCGUCGCUCUUAAGAUUUACUCUUUAUUGUAUAGCAGGUUAUUUCUGCUGAGUGAUUAUUAUCAUUAUGAAGUGAUCUGAUUUGCUGCUGAUAUUAAGGCAAGACCGGUCAAUAAUUACACUGGCUAACAAAAGCGAAAGCUUGUUUAAAAAGGGUUGAAAUAUAGGCAAUGGUGCAAUUUAACUUACAUACCCUUACAUACAGCGUAAGCUUAAAGUAUUUUAAAAUCGUUUUAAGCAAUAUUACCUAAAAAAAACAUUUAUAAAAUAAUAACCGUAAAUACCAUGUUUCUUUCAUACAACACUUUAAUUUUUCACCUUUUAUUGCUCUCGAGACAGAGAUUUGGACUAAAAACCAAGAAUAUAUAUAUAGUGUAUAUAUAUUUAUUUAUAUUUUAACGUAUAAUUGUUUUCCUGCAAAGAAUCCAUACGAUUUGUAACCCAGUGUAAUUAUAGUUUUUACAAAAUUCAUUUCAGCAAAGGAAGAUCAAAACGCGCUUUAAAUAAUGAUAUGGUGUGUGAUUAAAACAAGAGCAAAUCGUGUUUCCGAUGGGAUCAUCACAGAUCCCCAUUAGGACGACAUGAUGGAGGUAUCUUCCAGAAGAGACACAAUGUAUGAGGUGAUAAUUCACUUCUAAUUUAUUUCCCUGGAAAAUAUCGCCCCCACCUGAAAAGAAGGCGAACGAUUUUCCCUGCCAAAGGGGCUCCACCUUCAUUCAAAUGGGGGAAACCAAACAAUUAAGCAAACAAAACGACAGCAACCACGGCUGCAGUCUCCAACUGCAGAUCCAGCUCCCACUUCAGCUCCAACUCGCCAGCCCCGACUCUUGAUAGCCCCUCCAGAUAGAAACUGUCAAACAAAACAAACUACACGAUAGAAACCAAACAAAGCGAGGCUACCAAAGUGUGCUGCGUUUUAGUACCCGGUACUUGAGGGGUAUAAUUUGUUAAUACAUUUUGUUAAAACUGAAUUUCUACAAUCGGUUUUUGUUUACUUGCCAUUGGAUGCACUAUUAAUAUCAACAGACUAAGUACAAGGAAAGGCGUCAAUGACGACCGACGAAGAGGACCGACUUCGACCUUCGGCGACUACGCUAGCAGCAACAACAACGACCCAUCAAAAAGGAAGUUUAAAAUGAAAAAAAAAAACACUACAAAAAAAUCGAAGCCCCAAGAAAAGGACAGAGAGAUGCAUCGAAUAUAAAUUAACUGCCAUGAACGAGUCAAAGUAACUAUAAUUUUUAGUGCAUUGGCGAGAAAAGCAGUAACAAUGAAGGCUGCACAGAAAGCCAGAAAGCAAAACGACAAAGCGGCAAUGCUGGUGGGCGUGUACCGCUCCCCAUCCGCCCACCACUGCCCCUCCCCCUUGCCCCCGCCGAGGUGCAAGCCAAGUGCAAUCUAUGCCAGCGAUCGACCAAGUACAAAUGGUUAGGAGAUGCAACAGUAACAGCGAAAACGGCAACAGCCACAAUAGCUGCCGAGGUCAAACAGCAAUCAAUAAAGGUCAGCGACUACCGCCAGGGCACGCCUGAGUGCCUACCGUCAAUGCCGGAUUGCUGGAUUGUCUGUCGUUUUGCCGGAUUGCCGGAUCAUUG